CUCUCACCAAUCCUCCUCUGCCCAACGUCCCAUCUGCUCCUUUCUUUCGUUUGUUCGCUCAUUCGUUAAAAGUCGUUGUCUUGGUUUCAAGUUUCAUGAUGUUUUGUUAUCGACUGAUGGAAUCGGAAGAUGUGUUUCUCUUAUUUUGACGUGAUAAAUGGGUAAUUCAGGCCAACUCUUGUUUGGAUACAUGGAUGUCUUGCUUUACUAUCUUUUCAUUUCUGGGGGCAUACGGAGGAUGCCUAGGACUAGGAGUGUCUUUU
rnacentral:misc_RNA from 1 species